AUGAAAACAUGAGAACCACAAGGGAAAGUAGAGAAUAUUGUUCUUCAAUAUUCUAAAGUGUUGUUCUUUCCUUCCAGCAUUGCUUCCUGCAGAGAAAUUCUCUAAUGGCCACCAAAGGGCCCUAAGGAACAAGACAUGCAACUGUACCCAGGAUGAAUUCUGGAUAAGAGCCAGACGUACGCUGGAGCAUCUUUCAACCUAGUGCCAAAAUCUGACAUGGAAUGGCAGAGUGAAUGCAGCCAACUACAGCAGAGUACAAGAGGAGUCACACGGGUCACAGCUACUCGGCACUUAAGCUACUUUUGCGAACUGCAGCUCUGGGAGAGUCACAACUGCAUUGGGCCACAACUUCUUCAACAACAAAGAGUGAAAACUAGCCUUGUUUUACAGGAUGGUACAAAUUUAAUCAAGAUGAGGUACCUGCUGUGCACAGUACAGGACAGUCAGGAAAACAAAUUGACAAGUUGGGAGCAAGUUCCUAAAGGAAAGUAGAGACAGCGAAUGCCUUGGCGUGACUGAGAUGAUGCAAGUGAUGGAUUAUAAAUGAUUCUUAACCUACACGGAACCCAAAUAGCAUGCCACGUCUCAGGAUCAGUUUGGGGAAAGAAAGGAAGAAAACUUUACUACUGUUACUAAGGAAGUGAUAUUCAGAUUGCAAGGGAGAUCAUUCGAAGGUAGGUACACUAGAGAUAAUGAUGGGAAAAGUCAAUAUGUGUCACCUAAGAGGGCCAAGUGUCUCCAUGGAAGGCCAUAUUGGUUUGUACUACUAGAGCCUUGGGAACUUGCUGGAUAUGAUGUACCAGGAGCCAGCAUGCUGGUCCUAUACUUUCCAGAUAUUUUCCUUUAUAAACCACCUUCAAAUACAGCUGAAUCUCUUCUGUGAGAAACUUAUAGGCCAAGGAGCCAAUGCAAAUCUUUGGAGGUCUGUGUACAGCAACAGACAUAUCUUUGUAAAGAAUCCUUUUGAAAUUGGAAUGUAAGCCCCUUUUUCUCCAAAUUUAACUGAAUCACAAAUAUAGUAUUAUUUGGGAAUUUGAAUUCUUCAUAUCAAUAGUUUCUGUUUUUAACUUUUAAUUUUGUUCUUGCUAAUUUUACUAGUAUUAUGAAGUAUAAUUGACAUGUAAUAUUUCCUAUUAGUUUCAGGUGUAUCUCAUGUUAAUUCAAUAUUUAUAGAUUACAAAAUGAUGCCUACAAUAAGUCUUGUUACUGUCUAUCACCAUACAAAAUUAUUACAUUAUUAUUGACAGUAAUCCCUAUGCUUUACAUUAUAUACCCAUGACCUAUUUAUUUCACAAAAGGAAGUUUGUAUAUCUUUAACUCCUUCUCUUUCACUCAUUCUUCAACCCACUCUGAAAACCAACAAUUUGUUUUCUGUAUCCAUGAGUCUGUUUCCAUUUUAUUUUGUUUAUUCAUUUGCUUGGCUUAUUUUUAGAUUCCACAGGUAAGUGAAAUUAUACAGUAUUUUUCUUCUCUAACUUAUUUUGCUUGGUCCAAUACCAUCUAGUCCAUCCAUGUUGUCUCAAGUGGCAAGAUUCCAUUCUUUUUAUGGCUGAGUAAUAUUCUAUUGUGUGUGUAUGGUGUAUGUGUGUGUUUGUAGUGAUACCACAUCUUCUUUACUCAUUCAUCCAUUGAUAGAUGCUUAGGUUGCUUCCAUGUCUUGGCUAUUGUAGAUAAUGCUGCAGUGAAUAUUGGGGUACAUAAUGUCUUUUCAAAUUGAUAUAUUUAUUUUCUUCCAACAAACACCCAGAAGUGGAAUUGCUGGAUCAUAUGGUACUUCUAUUUUUUUAAAAAAAGAUUUUAUUUCUUUAUUUGACAGAGAGAUCAUGUUCACAAGCAGGGUGAGUGGCAGGCAGAAGGACAAGGAGAAGCAGGCUCCCCACUGAGCAGAGAGCCAAUGUGAGGCUUGAUCCCAGGACCCUGGAGUCAUGAUCCGAGCUGAAAUCAGAUGCCUAACCAAUGGAACCACCACAGACACCCCUGAUAGUUCUAUUUUUACUUUUUUUAGGAACCUCCAUACUGCUUUCCACAGUGGCUGCACCAAUUUUCAUUCCCACCAGUAGUGUAUGAGGGUCUUCUUUUUUCUACAACCUCACCAACAUUUGUUAUGUUUCUGUCUUUUUAAUUCCGGCCAAUCUCACAAAUGUGAGAUAAUAUCUCAUUGUGGUUUUGUUUCCAUUUUUCUGAUAACUAUAAGAAAAGAUGUUGGAUAUCUUUUCAAGUGCCUGUUGUCCAUUUGUACAUCUUCUUUGGAAAAAUAUUUUUACUAUUAAAGGAAAAGAAUUAUGUAAAUGUAGUCAGAAUGUAUAUAUGGAUAUAUGUAAUGAUUAAUAUACAAAUGUAUUGAAUAUAUGUUUUUAAAUAUUUUAUAAAUAUAAUUGAAUAUGUACCAUCAAAAAAGAAUAAUGGAGGGACCCACAGAUUAGUUUGGAAGUCUCAAGAGAUUGAAUGGGCUUCUAUUAGAUUUACUUAUGCAAACAUUCCCAAGGAUGCAUUUGUUGCUUUGAACAGGAGCUGUGUUAAACUAGAGAAUUUAUUUGGACAUUCAUUAUUGUGGACAUUAAAGGCCAUAAUGAUACUCAAUGUUUUUUAUCUUUUCCCAAUAGGAAAUUAGAGUAAGAGACAUAUAGAACUCUCUUUUCUUAAAACCAGAAGUUUGCCUUUUAAUUUUCACUGCUUCUUAGCCAUUUAGCCAUGCCUCAUCUGUAUUUCUCAGUAACAGGAGGAUGACCCAAAUCCAAUAAAAAAAAGUGAUUCUUUGAAGAAAAAAUAUGU
rnacentral:lncRNA from 1 species